UACGUAGGGGGCAAGCGUUGUCCGGAAUCAUUGGGCGUAAAGCGCGUGUAGGCGGCUCGGUAAGUCCGCUCUGAAAGUCCAGGGCUCAACCCUGGGAUGCGGGUGGAUACUGCCGGGCUCGAGUCCGGAAGAGGCGAGUGGAAUUCCCGGUGUAGCGGUGAAAUGCGGCAGAUAUCGGGAGGAACACCAAUGGCGAAGGCAGCUCGCUGGGACGUGACUGACGCUGAGACGCGAAAGCG
rnacentral:rRNA from 1 species